AGAUUGUACACAUUAAAACAAAUGUAUGGUUUCCGACUUCGGACGAGGCUCUUAGUAAAGAUAUGUACCACUUAUCUCGAUCAGGUUUCUUCAACAAGUUCGACUGCAGCCUUGGAAGGAGGCGGAAGAGGCUUUUAUUCCAGUUUGUAAUACUGCAGCUGGGCCAAAAUAUCAAGGCACGAUUUGGUUUGAGUGGAGAAAGAUGCCAAGGUUCUUGCACUGUGGAAGGGGGAUUGACGCUUGCUUUUCAGUAGCAGCCUGUGAAGUAGUCCCAUUUGAUGGAGUCACGGUCAGAUUUACAUGAUAACAGUACAUUGAGAGACUGCUGCAGGAUAGCUGUUGUAUAAGUGCUAUCGAUCAUGUCUACUGCUUCACAGGGGAUCGAUGGAUGGACUGAGCCUGUAGCAACUGGUCCAAAUUGGCUAGGUCCCGUGGGGCGAGCGCCCAGCGAUCGAGAUGCAAGCGUACUGCCCAUUUUGCUCGGCAUCUUGCUAUGAAUUACUAGCUGGUUAUUUCGGCGUUGGGGUCUCUCAGUCCGUUCGGUAUGAACCCAGAGGAUUAUAUAGUAGGCUGCGUUCGUUUUGGAUAUUUUGGGGGUAAAUUAAGCAUGGAAGAGAACUCUCAAAAAAGGAUACUGGAAGUAAAAUUUUGUGCAAGGGAAACCAACCUAGUGACUACGUUAUCCAAGUCCAAGAACAUAUUAAUACUUCUAACUAAUUUACCGAGGUUUAAACCAUCCAACUGAAGUUCGACGACAAGGAUGUCCAAAUUAUGCUGGAUUAUAACCUGGGGAGGCGAAGACAGAUAAUGUGUCAUUUUACCUGGAAACGAAAAUAAAAAGCACAGAGGACAGCUUCUGCUUUGGUUGAGAUGAACACGUUCGAAUGCAGGGAAAAUAAAGACUGCCAAAAGCCACAAGUCAGAGGCCAUCAUUAAUGCUUGCUGGUUGUAGGACAACUUGAUCAGCCUUUUCCUCCAAUGAAAGAUUGAAAACCCCUUAUGCUUGGUAUAGAGAAAUUCAGCCACAACAAGACAGAACGCCCAUGCUUAAACCGUGCUGUCGAGGGAACUACUACCGAGGAGAGUGAUACGGAUGCUGGUGAUAAUGUAGUACUACUAGUACUCGCCUUGGGAGCUGAAGCAUGGAGAUGCUGCCGGUACGCUGCAGCACUGUGGUGAUUCAUCAACAGGAUUAACUGGGUAGUUGGCCAUGGUGGUGGUGGGGUUCAUCAAAGUGUUUGUUGGGUCAAAAAUGGAGCACGGAAGAGGCUAACCAAUGACCCAUAUUUGGCAUGGAAGUUGGCUUCGCUACACGUUUGCCAGAUCUGGCUUGCAUCUUAGCUCAAGGUCAUCAUGGAUGUUUAAUGGCCAGCAAGGCACGACAACUACACCAUUAAUUUCCACAAGGCAUUGAGAAUUUGAGAUGAUGUGAUUCAAGCUGAUGGAUGCUUUACACAGAAGUCACUUCAUGUGCUAGACAUGCAUGCGUGCACAGUCCCAUUAUGAGAGAAAGAUGACUUAUUCUCGGUUCGAGGAAAAAACGAAUUAGUGGGACCAGUGUCAACUGGCUAUGUUGAGAUAUGGAUAUUGGAGCCGAAAACAAGGAAAUAUGAACAUAAUUAAUGUGGCCUGAACAAAUCUGAUACAUGAUCACUUCACUAGACAUUAAUUCAAGCUCUCGCGUUGGAACUUGAAAUUCUAUGAUCAGCAAACUGUUCAGUAAAAAAGAAUAAGGUCAUUUGCAGCCCAGAAACUAUCAAGUAAUUUUCAUAUUUGUCGUAUCAUAUAGAUAUUAUGUGUAUAAACUAUGUAUUUAAUGGAUACUGUCUUCAAAUUAAAUUUCCAUCCAAUCAUCUCUCUUCUCUCUUUUUAUUCACCUAUCAUCUUGUUUUUGUUCUUGGUUCUUGUGUAGAAAAGGUUUCUCAUAUGAGAAAUUGUUUCUUCAUUUUUUUUCUCUCCUCAUUAACUCCCUUGCCACAUAAGAUUUUUGUUUAUGUGACAAUAUAUUUAAUGAUAUGGAAACUAGAUGAUACGGAGGGUCGGGGAUUAUGGCCUAAGCACAUUUUACUCGGUAUGAUUCAAGCACAUUUUAUGGUUUAAGAGCACGCUAGCUUAUUUGAUGUUUUUCGUCAGCAGUCAUACAAGUAAUAAGAAAAAGGGGCUUUUACAAUUCUGCCAUAGUUCUUCCUAAAUUGAAAGGAUACCGCUAAAAUUGCU